AUCUGGGAGCUAUCAGUGAGCUCGGGUUGUUCGAGGUAAUCGCAGUAGGUGCUGUUGCAAACGCACACGCUUCCAUGACUUGUUUCUCGCAAAUCGCAGGGCAGCUGACUUUCCGAAGCACCUGCAACAGAUUACGAUCGCUGCAAAAAGAAAGCAAAGCCGAAUUGUCGUCAUUUUGGCACCACCGCCGCAGCAAUGCGACUCGAUCAAAGGCCCGUCCACAACUGAGCUCAAAAAGAGAGUGGCUCUGCUUGGGAACAAUCAAGCCACCGAAUUUCGCUCAACUUGAUGUUUAUGUUUUCGAACGCCACUUGACCCGGGCCCAGCUGUUGAUUUGAUAAAGACCGGACCGGCAAAUAGGUACAGUCGGCAGUCGAGGCGAUCCCACUUGGAAAUCGGCGCACGCAAUCAAAAGUAAAAGCUAUGCAAACUCAGAGGCGGAGUGGGAACCACUGAAAGGGGGUCAUAUAGCCACCAGAAAGGGAGCAAACUUAGGCAAACCGAAGCUUAUAUACCCUUGACCCGGUUGUUAAAAUUAAAUAUUUUUUUGAUUUUUCUAUUCAUUUUUGCAUAGUUUUUAUGGCAGCUAUGUGAUGUGGUUUAUAAAAAAAAGUUAAAUCUGAAAUAAUAAAUCAUUACUAUAUAUCGAA